AUGGAUUAAACACACAAAAUAACCAUACUUAGUGUUUUUGGACCAAAAUUGGUCUCUUACACUUUUUAUUAUAACAUAACAAGAACAACUAAAUAAAAUGGGCAGCAAGAGAUGCGCCCCACCCCUCCUCCAAUGGUUUGAUGCACAUGACCAUUUUAUCCUCCAUGCUUUCUAGUGUAGGUUUGGACUCCAAGACUUUUGCCACCAAUUGAGUUAGGGCCUCCUUAGCUUUCUUGGUUCUCGACCUUGUCAUUGGUCCUCCUAGCCCUUGAAUUGAAGCACUUGUGUCAUGGACAACCAUGCCCUCAUCAUCCCCUCCCUCUUGAAAGGAAUUCGUCCACGAAUUGAAAUCACUAUUACCUACAUCAAAAGGAGCUAAGUCAGCAACAUUAAAAGUAGCACUUAUAUCAUACUCACCGGGUAACUCAAGCUUGUAUGCAUUGUCAUUGAUCCUUUCUAGCACUUGAAAUGGUCCGUCACCCCUUGGUUGAAGUUUUGACUUCCUUUGUUUAGGAAACCUUUCUUUCCUCAUAUGCACCCAAACCCAAUCACCGGGUUCAAAAAUCACCCUCUUCCUUCCUUUGUUUGCAUUUUUAGCAUACCCUUCAUUUUUCUUUUCAAUUUGCAACUUCACUUGCUCAUGCAUUUUCUUCACAAACUCAGCUUUGUCUUUUCCAUCUUUAUGCUUCAAAAAAGAACUGUUAGGCAUAGGUAACAAAUCAAGUGGAGUUAGUGGGUUAAAACCAUAAACAACUUCAAAUGGUGACAUUUUUGUAGUACUAUGAACCACACGAUUGUAAGCAAAUUCCACGUGGGGUAAACAUUCUUUCCACAUUCUCAAAUUUCUUGUAAGAACACUUCUAAGAAGAGUAGAGAGAGUUCUAUUUACUACCUCAGUUUGACCAUCUGUUUGAGGGUGACAAGUUGUUGAGAAUAGUAACUUUGUUCCAAUCUUACCCCACAAGGUCCUCCAAAAGUGACUUAAAAAUUUUGUGUCACGAUCUGAAACUAUGCUCCUUGGAACUCCAUGAAUGCGCACAAUCUCCUUGAAAAACAAAUCAGCCACAUGGCGUGCAUCAUCUACCUUUUUGCAUGCAAUAAAAUGUGCCAUCUUGGAAAACCUAUCAACAACAACAAAAAUAGAAUCUUUCCCAUUCUUUGUUCUAGGUAAACCCAAAACAAAAUCCAUGGAAAUGUCAACCCAAGGAAAUUCAGGAGUUGGUAACGGUGUAUAAAGACCAUGAGGCAAAACUUUUGAUUUGGCCUUUUUACACACUAUGCAUCUUUCACACAACUUUUGGACAUCAAUUUUCAUAUGUGGCCAAUAAAAAUGCUCUUGCAGCAACUCUAAAGUUUUAACAACCCCAAAGUGUCCCAUUAAUCCCCCCUCAUGCGCCUCUUUUAAAAGCAAAGUUCUUAUGGAACAUUUUGGCACACAUAAUCUUUUUUCUUUAAACAAAUAACCAUUGUGCCUAAAAUAUCCAUUAAUGGCAGCAUGUUCACAAGCUAAAAAUUUUGAUGAAAAAUCAAUAUCACUUUCAUAUAAACUCUUAAUUUGUUCAAGUCCAAAAACUUUAGUUUCAAGAGUGGAGAGUAAGGCAUACCUUCUUGAAAGUGCAUCUGCAACCACAUUAGCUUUACCUCUUUUGUGUUUGAUCACAUAUGGGAAUUGUUCAAGAAACUCAACCCACUUGGCAUGUCUCUUGUUCAACUUACCUUGCCCUUUUAAAUGUUUCAAAGAUUCAUGGUCACUAUGAAUGACAAAUUCUUUGGGCAGUAGGUAAUGUUGCCAAGUUUGCAAUGAUCUAAACAAAGCAUACAAUUCCUUAUCAUAAGUGGAGUAAUUAAGGGAAGCACCCUUCAACUUUUCACUAAAAUAAGCAAUUGGAUGUCCUUCUUGCAUCAAAACAGCCCCAAUUCCAACAUUAGAAGCAUCACAUUCAAUUUCAAAAGAUUUGAAAAAAUUUGGUAAUGCUAAAAUUGGUGCUUUGGUGAGUUUUUCUUUAAGUGCAGCAAAAGCUUGCUCUUGUUUCUCACCCCAUUUAAAAACAUUUUUCUUAACAAUCUCAUUUAGAGGUGCAGCAAUGGUGCUAAAAUCUUUGACAAACCUCCUAUAGAAACUUGCUAAACCAUGGAAAAUUCUUACCUCACUUACAUUUUUGGGUGGUGGCCAAUCCUUGAUUGCUCUUACCUUUUCUUCAUCCACAUGGAUUCCCUUGGAGCUUACAACAAAACCUAAAAAAAUUACAUGAUCCGUGCAAAAGACACAUUUUUCCAAAUUUGCAAACAAAUGUUCUUUUCUUAAAACUUCUAAAACAGCCCUUAAAUGACCACAAUGUUCCUAGAAAUUUUUGCUAUAUAUCAAGAUAUCAUCAAAAUACACAACAACAAAUUUUCCCAAAAAUUCCCUCAAGACAUGGUUCAUGAGUCUCAUAAAAGUACUUGGCGCAUUAGUUAAACCAAACGGCAUAACCAUCCACUCAUACAAACCAUAUUUUGUUUUAAAAGCAGUUUUCCAUUCAUCCCCCUCCCUAAUUCUUAUUUGGUGAUAGCCACUUUUCAAAUCAAUUUUAGAAAAUAAACAUGCACCAAACAAUUCAUCAAGUAAGUCAUCUAGCCUAGGGAUUGGAUGUCUAUACUUAAUGGUAAUAUUGUUAACAGCUCUACAAUCAGUGCACAUUCUCCAACUACCAUAUUUUUUUGGAACUAAAAUAACAGGGACAGCACAAGGACUUAAACUUUCUCUUACCCAUCCUUUACUUACCAAUUCAGCAACUUGACUUUGAAUUUCUUGUGUUUGUUGGGGAUUGCUUCGGUAGGCUGGACGAUUUGGUAAAGAUGCUUCUGGAAUGAGGUCAAUGUGAUGUUCAAUACCUCUUAAAGGUGGCAGCCCAUUUGGUAUCUCUUUAGGGAACAAAGCCUCAAACUCCUGCAAAAGCGAUUCAACACAACUUGGAAAUUUUUGAGUGUUAGAAUUGUUAGUAAACAAAACCACCUCUUUGCAAAAUAGCAAAUAUAGGGGCUGCUUGGUGACAAUGGCAUUUUUUAUUUCUUCUUUUUUUGCCAUGAAACUUUCUUUCUUUUCUUUUUCUGUUUCUUUUUCUUUUCUUUCUUUUUCUUUUUCUUGCGCAUAUUUUUCUUUCAUUUUCUUUUGAUCUUCUCUUACAUCAUUAGGACUCAAUGGUGCAAGAAUAAUUUUUUUCCCAAAGUGCAUAAAAGAAUACUUAUUACUUCGGCCAUCAUGUUGCACUCCUCUAUCAAAUUGCCAUGGUCUUCCUAGCAACAAAUGACAAGCCUCCAUUGGUACUACAUCACACACAACAACAUCUUCAUACUUCCCAAUUUUAAAACAAACCUCUACUUGUUUGUCAACAAGCAUUUCUACACUUUCACUAAGCCAUUGAAGUUUGUAAGGCCUAGGGUGAGGUCUUGUUUCUAAUUCUAAUUUACCCACCAUGUGUGCACUAGCAACAUUAGUACAACUACCUCCAUCAAUAAUUAGAGAACAUACCUUUCCUUGCACUAAGCAUCUUGUAUGGAAAAGACUUUCCCUUUGAUUUGAUUCUUCCUCCUUAGCUUGGUUUCCCAACAUCCUCCUAAUCAUGAGAAAUUCACCAUUUUCACCAUCCUCCUCUUCUUCCCCUCCUUCAUCAUUCACGACAUAAUCCUCCUCCUCAAGGUCCUCAUUCUCUUCAAUUAACAUAGUUCUCUUUGUUGGACAUUGAGAAGCUAUGUGUCCUUUACCUUGGCACUUGAAACACGUAACAAUCUUGUUAGUAGAAACAUUUUGGGAUGAAGUAAUGUUUUUACCUUUAGGAUCACUUGAUGAACACUAUUUUGUGAAAAUUGUUCAUAUUUGACUUUUAAUCAUGAAUUGAUAAAAGUUGCUUGCUGAAAGUUUAAUUAAAAGCACAAAACACAAGAAAUGAACUAAAAAUAUUGUUAAUGAAAGGGUGUGCCAACAAGAAACGAAAAUUAUGUAUUGGGAUUAAUUUUGACAAUGAUUUGGAGUUGAAAAAUGAGAAUUUGGUUUUUUGAAUUGGUGUUUAGGCUGAUCUGUGGUUUCAAACAAGAAAUGGAAUGGAGAGUUUAGGGACGCCACACUUUCUAAUCCUAGAAAAUGAUAAGUCUAUGGAAUGAAGAUCACCACAAGAAAGGAUUCUUGAUAUGAUCAAUACAAGGUCCAAUCCAGAACCUAAAGAGCAAUUACUCACUUUUUUUUAACGAAAAUUAACUUGUCUUUUAUUCAAUUUUCGUGUCCUAUAUAUAGGUAGGAGGGACACUUGCUGAAUUACAAAGAAAAAUGCAAAUAGCUCUUAGGAUUCCUUCAGCCAAAUUAAUCUAUCAUUAUUUCCUAUGGCUGAAGUAAAUUAACAUGAAUACAAGAAAUGGUUACAAGACAAAUCAAUGAAUGAGGGUGGCUGGUCUUGAUGAUCAUGAUGAUGGACGUGAAUUUGAUGAUGAUGGUGGUUUCAUAUGCUGAAAUGAAAUGCCUUCAUUGUCUCAUUGAAGUCUUGUCCCUUUCCUCUUCAAAAUGGAUUAAACACACAAAAUAACCAUACUUAGUGUUUUUGGACCAAAAUUGGUCUCUUACACUUUUUAUUAUAACAUAACAAGAACAACUAAAUAAAAUGGGCAGCAAGAGAUGCGCCCCACCCCUCCUCCAAUGGUUUGAUGCACAUGACCAUUUUAUCCUCCAUGCUUUCUAGUGUAGGUUUGGACUCCAAGACUUUUGCCACCAAUUGAGUUAGGGCCUCCUUAGCUUUCUUGGUUCUCGACCUUGUCAUUGGUCCUCCUAGCCCUUGAAUUGAAGCACUUGUGUCAUGGACAACCAUGCCCUCAUCAUUG
rnacentral:lncRNA from 1 species